CCUACGGGAGGCAGCAGUGGGGAAUAUUGGACAAUGGGCGAAAGCCUGAUCCAGCAAUGCCGCGUGAGUGAUGAAGGCCUUCGGGUCGUAAAGCUCUUUUACCAGGGAUGAUAAUGACAGUACCUGGAGAAUAAGCUCCGGCUAACUCCGUGCCAGCAGCCGCGGUAAUACGGAGGGAGCUAGCGUUGUUCGGAAUUACUGGGCGUAAAGAGUACGUAGGCGGUUAUUCAAGUCAGAGGUGAAAGCCCGGGGCUCAACCCCGGAACUGCCUUUGAAACUAGAUAACUAGAGUCUUGGAGAGGUUAGUGGAAUUCCGAGUGUAGGGGUGAAAUUCGUAGAUAUUCGGAAGAACACCAGUGGCGAAGGCGACUAACUGGACAAGUACUGACGCUGAGGUACGAAAGCGUGGGGAGCAAACAGGAUUAGAUACCCUGGUAGUCCACGCCGUAAACGAUGAUAACUAGUUGUUCGGUCACUUGGUGACUGAGUGACGCAGCUAACGCAUUAAGUUAUCCGCCUGGGGAGUACGGUCGCAAGAUUAAAACUCAAAUGAAUUGACGG
rnacentral:rRNA from 1 species